rnacentral:rRNA from 1 species
UACGGAGGAUGCGAGCGUUAUCCGGAUUUAUUGGGUUAAAGGGUGCGCAGGCGGAAUGUCAAGUCAGCGGUAAAAUUUCGGGGCUCAACCCCGUCGUGCCGUUGAAACUGGCGUUCUUGAGUGAGCGAGAAGUAUGCGGAAUGCGUGGUGUAGCGGUGAAAUGCAUAGAUAUCACGCAGAACUCCGAUUGCGAAGGCAGCAUACCGGCGCUCAACUGACGCUCAUGCACGAAGCGUGGGU